CCUUUCCAUACCUGAGUAGGCACAUGCGCUAGUUUAACCAUAUGGCUAGUAAGCUCAGCUAUUGCUUGCCCUUCGUCAUCUAUUUGAAGACAGCAAUUGCUCAGGUUAAACUUCCCACAUACACCUCCCUCUACUGCCAAAAGAUAAUCCAAGGCUAAUCUAUUUUGGUAAACUGCUGUCCUCAUCCUUGUAUUAUGCUUCGCUAGAAGAUUGAGCGCUUGUGAUGUCUCGUUAGUAAUGAUCUCAACCACCGCCUGUAACCUUAUAAUGCGGUUGAGCAUAUAAAUAGGGGUUCUAUAACCAAAGGUACCAUCCUCUGCCCACGUGGCUGGCCCAUAAUAAUCUAUAAUACGCUGGGGAGGCCAUUCAUUAUCUUCCCAGGCACCUAUCUCUAUGGGUCCCCUUUUCUUCCUAUGAUUCACAUCAUACACUUUAACACCUAAAGUCUCACCUGUUUCAAUAGGCAACAAGAAGAAGGAUGGUUUUAAC